UCACUCCUUGAUAAAGGCAGCAUACCCAUCAGCCCUGCUCUCCCAGAUCUGCCUCCAGGUGUCCUUGGCCCUGGCUCCAAAGCCAACAAUAUUGUCACCCUCUGAGGCUACUGGUGGUGCAGGCUCCCUGGAGAAGAGGUAGAGGGUGUAGCCGACAUCAUUUUCUAGGAGCCACCUGAACGACUUCCCUUUGUACCUCCCGAACUGCAGAACAUACUCCCCCAUCACCUCCAGUCGGUCCGACACAUCCCCUCCCCGCUGAAAGACCACAGUGAGAGCAUCAGUCCUCAAAAGGUCAUGUCUCUGAGUCACCCCCAGGACUUGUCCUGAAGCAAAGGAUUUCUUUUAAUCUUCAUGGCCUCAUCAGAGGGGUCCUGCCGCAGAUGGCCUGAUGGACCCUUCCUGAACGACACCGUCAUGCUUCCUGGGAAGAAGAUGCUGGUCUUCUUCAUUAUCUCCUGUGCACAGCAAUGUAUAUUAUUUAUUAUAUAAUAAAUAACACUGAAAUUAAUCAGCAUUUGUAAUAGCUAGGUAAGAGUAUUUGAUAUUACACAGACAGACAGAGUAGAUAGAUUUCUUAGUGUAACACCUAUUGACAAAAAUUACAUUUCUUUUUUCAUGGCAAUCAAACAACUAUCUUACAUGUAGGCUAUAAAAUAGACAUAUGUUGUGGUAUUCACAAAUUCUAAAUAUUCAGAAUGAGAAUUGAUAAACUUACAUAAUGAUGGUACAAAAGGCCUGAGUCUUAAUCAUAGUUAAAGAAGGUCUUUAAUUAUGUAUCUAUAAUGUCUAUAAAAACACAAUGAAGGAGUCAAAGAAAGCAGAAGAUUGGAUCAGUGUCAGCAAGAGAGAUAUUGAAAGAUGGAAAAAUAACUAAUGUUAAUGCUGACAUACAGUUUAUAUAACUAACAUUAAUGUAAGUUCCUAUCAAACUUAGCUGACAAAAAACCGAGUUAGAGCAAUGACAACAUUAUUUAACAUAAGCACACUAAAGUUAACUAUUAAUGUAAUUGUUUGAUCACAAACAUCUUAGAAGCCUUAAUGUAUCUUACUUCAUGAAUAAAAACAGCUCAACUUACGUUUGAUGACUUUAACUUUGUUUGCCGACAGAGCUCUAACUUAAGAUGGAAAAGUACAGUAACUCUGUUUACCGCGGCUGCAGAUGUCCGUCUGUCACUCAAACGUAAACACGGGGUCUCCUUACCUUUACACAAUUGGGGAAACAGCGCCCCCACAGUCCCGCUUGUGGUCAAAAAUAUAUUACAUCCGUAGUGAUAAGAACUACCAUAGAGAAUGAAGGGUAAAAGUUAAGAGAGUUAAGCUCUACCAUUCCCGGUGAAUGCAGAUGUAGUGUAAAAGCGCUUUGAGUGGUCGAAAAGACUAGAAAGGCGCUAUACAAGUACGGAGCAUUUACAUUCUUGAGAACAACAGGAAGAUAAAUGUACAGAAUAUAUACAGUAUGUAGUGUAUCCAUAACCAUAUAUACAAUUUUAGUGCUAAAACAAUUAACUAUCAAUAGGAUAGUAUUAGUUAUAAUUAUUUAAGUAAUUUUCAAGCAAAAUACCAAACAAUCUCUGGCUUCAGCUUCUCAAAUGUACAGACCGCUGAUUUUCUGUGCUCUAUCUCUUUUAUUAUAAACUGAAAAUCUUUUGGUAACAGUAUAGUAACAAAUAAAUGAAACAAAUUGAUCAUCUAUACAAAUGAAAUGAAAAUUCAAGUAAGGAUGUCCCGAGUUGAUGUAUAGGCUCCAGAUCAGGGCCAGUGCAUGUGCAGUGCAGGUAUAGGCUAUUCAGACUGAUGUAAACAAAAGUUCAAACACUGACUGCACAGUUAAGAGAGAGUGACCCACUGAGCCACUUCCAUAAUUUCUUCCAUAAUUUAAUUCAAUAAUAUAAUCUAAUAAAUAUUUCAAGCAGUUUUUUCGUUUUAAUCUUUAUUUUUAGGGCUUACAGCUCAUAGAAUCAAAACUAGUAUCCCAAAUUUUUUUAGAAUUUCAGAAUAAAUUUUUUGUUAUACAGAAAUGUCGACCUGGGAAGAGCUCUUAUCAGCUAAUUAAUUAGCUCAAAACACCUGCAAAAGUUUCCUAAGAGUCUUAAUCUCUCAGUCUGGUUCUGGUGCUCACAAUUAACUUUUCCACCAUAUUGAAAUUUGUUUUCAAAUUUUUAUUAUACUAAUGUAACAAAAGCAAUAAUAGGCUAAUUUAAUGACUAUCACUGUCCAAUCACAUCACAUGUCUGAAUCUCAUAAAUACUUUUUUACUUUUAUUGCACACAUGAGACUAAAAUUAUUAGUGUCAACGAGUUGGCGUUUCAGUCGCAGUUUAAAAGUGCUGCUAUAAGUUUUACAGGGCACCAGAUGCAACUGUGUUUUCUCAGCUUAAAGCCCCAAAGCUUCAUCACUACUACUCGCUAGCUAAUGUUAGCUGAUUUGACUGUGUUUGAGGGACUAUUUUGUCCCACAGAUGAGUCAGCUAGGGAAGGACUGACAGGCAUCACAGCAAGGGACAACAGGUGGAUUUACUUCAAACUUCUGAAUAGAAGAUGAGUAAAGGGAGCACAGAUGCCAGAAGUAAAUGUAAGAGAAUAAGAUAUGCAUUUAAAAUGUUUGCAUCUUUAUGAUGAUAUGAUAGGUUUAUGAUCAGUAGGGUGAGUGAACAACAGUGGUGACCACAGAGGAAAUGAAAUUCGUAAAGUAAAUUAGGGAUGCAAACUAGUCCUUUUAAUCUAAUGGAGAGAUGUUUUGUUUUUGAUUUUAAUGUGGAAAUGAAAUGCUUAAUUAUCCAUAAAUCACAUAGAAAAAAGAGAUUAUUUCAUUCAAUAAUUGUUUUAUAAUCGCACCACAGCCCUCUAAAUCGUAAUCAAAUUGAAUCGUAAGGUGUUCAGAGAUUCCCACCUCCAAUGAUGAUCAGAAACUGUUACAACAUUUUUCUACCGUACCUUGGUUAUACAGUAACAUCAGAUAAGUUACAGUUUGUCUCUUUUUAGUUGCCAAAAAACAGAUUGUAGUUCUACAAGCCAAUUAUUUUCCAAAGCAAGAUUCAUCUUUUUCCCAGAUAGUGUUUAGAUUUGUAGGCAUUCUAUCGUCUCAAACAGCAUGAAAAAUAGUGCAUUUUGCCGGCUUAAUGGGAAAAAAAUAUCUCCGGGGGUGAGAUCCCUCUAGGUUUGGGCUAAGGCCCGAAUGUUUACAACGUCUGGCUCCGCCUCUGCAGCAGAGGUAGGGAUAUAGAAACCAGAAGGGGGGAAAUCCCACGCAUCCCCCCCUGCAAAUCGCACCCUGGAUACACACAUAAUUAAAACAACAUAACUCGUUAAGAAGAUUUGGUUGUUUAGUGUAUGGUGAACUUAUUAGCUGGUUUGAUUGCUGAACUCAUAAUUCUUUUGAGUAAGCAGUGUGUUCGGGUUUACAGUGUAGGGGCAGCACAAAUCAGACUGCGGCUGGCUUGACCAUGGUUUCGCUCACGUUACCGCAGUCGUUUAGUUGGGAAACAUUAUGUUACUGUCAGUAUUAGGCUGUUUUGUUACAGCAUUUUAUCACAGUGCAGAGCUUCAAACACAGCCACCUUUGUAUAUUUCAAAGAAUAACAAUUGAGUUACAUUAUAUUUAAAUAGAUUGUAGUAAGUCUUUUGAAACUCUAGAGGGCAGGCAACAACUGACUACAUUUUUAAUACUGAUUUACUGAAGUAAUGGCAGUGAGGAAACCACUAACACACUUACAAAUAAUGUGUUCAUCCGUCCUGGCUAUUCUAACGUUUGCAAGUAUAUAGGGUUAGGGUCUGCUGUUUAUUAUUGUGUUCAAAAGCUCAGUUAUACAAGAAGCCACAGAGCUGCACACAACCACUGUAGAUGUCACUGUGAGAGAAAUGGCUGUAAAAGCACUUGCCCCACUCUGUGGUUCUGUCACAACUUGCCUUAAACUGAAACAAAGAGUGAGGUUCACACACCAUUAGGUGGAUCAUCUCUUGUUAUGAGACUGAGUAGAACUUUCUCUGUAAGAAGUGUUAAAAAAUGAGCUUAGUCUUUCUUGACCCCUCAUAUUUACUGAUGGCUGCCAAAAAGACCAAAUUAAACAAAGUGUGUAUCAAAUUUAAACAUUCAUCGUUGUUUUGAUAUUAACAUAUUUGUCAUUCAAUAUAUUAGUGUUGUAUAUAAAAUCAUACAUUAAAAACAAUGAUAAAGUGAUUACAAAAUAUAAAAUAUAAAUACAAAAUAUAAUACAAAACAAAAUUAGCUUACAUUAACCCUAAAUAUAUUUUUGUUGUUUAGAAUUACAAGUUAGGUUUUAUUUUAGCCACUGCUGACGACAUAGGUCCCCUGACUUUUCAGUGCAGGAAACAGUAUUUGGUUUUUGUAUUAGGGUUUGUCACUGUGAUGGCUGGGUGGCACUGUGAUAUAGAUCCAUACAAAAACCUAAGAGUAAUAAUCUGACCCUCUGCCUUUCUUGUGAUGGAAAAAAGGACAGGACAAAGUAUUUUGCAUUGGAAUAUGAGGUUUUUGUACAAGCAGUGAGUGGAGAUGCAGCACUGUGAUUACUUCGACUACUGGGGUCGUGGGACUGAAGUCACAGUAUCUACAGGAACACCAACACCACCCACUCUGUUCCCUUUGGUUCAGUGCCAACCUGGGUCUGGAGAUAAAAUCACUGUUGGUUGUUUUGCACGCGACUUCUACCCAAAGAGUCUUACAUUCCAGUGGACCGAUGCCAGUGGGACCACCCUGACUUCUGAAAAUUAUCCUCUAGCUGAGAAAAACAACAAAUAUACAGGAAUCAGUUUGGUCAAAGUAUCAAAAUCUGACUGGGAUUCAAGGAAGUCUUUUAAUUGUUCUGUAAAUCACAACGGAUCUCCCAAAAAUCUGCAAGUGCAAAAGCCUCCUCCAAAAGUGACUUUGCUAUCAGUGCCAAGUGAAGACACCCAGACCCUGGUGUGCACGAUUGAAUGUGGUGAUGGAAAACUUGACUCAUUCAAGUGGAAAAAGAAUGACGCAGAGUUGAACGACUACAUUCAAAGUCCCAUCCAAAAAACUGGAGGCUUAUAUUCAGCUGUCAGUGUCCUGAAGGUCAACAACGCAGACUGGGACAGUAACGCUGUGUAUACCUGUGAGGUGACUUACAGAGAAACACAAUAUAAAAAGAAGGCCUCAAAAGCUCCUGUCACAGUGACACUGAAGCAACCCAGUGUAAAAACAUUUAUCAGCAACAACCGGGCAGAGUUGGAGUGUGUCAUUACUGGACAGGACGAGACCACUGUAAAUGAAAUUCAAAUCACUUGGCAAAUUAAUGAACAAGCUGUGACCAACAACAUUGCUGAACCAACAUUGUCCAGCGGCGUUCAGCACAGCAAAACCAGCACGAUGACUCUUAGUCUGACUGAGUGGCAGAGAGUCAACAAAGUGCGCUGUUCUGCCAUUAAAGACGAUAUGACUCCAGUUAUUCAGGAUCUGACUGUCCACAAAGGAGAUGGGAGUGAGCCAAAAGUGACAGUCUAUGCCCUCCCAGAGGAGGACAUCAGCAAAGGAGCUGUGGUCUCUCUGGUGUGUCUGGUCUCUGGUCCUGUGCUGCAGGAUUACUACAUCGCCUGGUCAGAAGGUUCUGGAAAUAAGGCCGGCAUCUAUAUGGAUGGCAUUAACUUCCCCCCACAGAAGACCCAGCAAGGCUACUUGGUUACAAGUAUUUACACCACCACCAAGGAAAAGUGGGACAACCACAACAUGUUCUACUGCAACGUCUGGCCUGCUGGUAGAAAUGAGUCCAUGAAACCCAAAGGAGUGUCUAAGGCCCAUGAUUUUCCAGAUUUAAAACAGAGUUGGGCUCUGAGCUGCAUAGAGGAUGCCAGUGAAGAGGAUGAGUUCAGCAGUCUGUGGUCCACAACCUCCUCCUUCAUAUUCCUCUUCAUAUCCUCUCUCUUCUAUAGCAUGAUAUUCAGCCUGGUCAAGGUGAAGAGAAGAUGAACAAUGAUAUGGAUGCACAGCACAGACGACUACAGUUUUUCAUUCAACAAAUUUAGAAGAGUAACAUUUUUGGUGUUAGUGAAAUUUGAUUAACAGCAGAGUUAAUGAUACCCUGGAUAGAGUCAAAUACAUUAUAUUUGACAUUCAGUUGAGAAGAAGUUGGUGUAAAAACAUAGUGUAAAAAAACAAGUAUCACUACAUCAAACCUGUAAGUGUAAUUGUGUAAAUAUUAACUCUGAAAUUCUUACUCUUAACUCUGAUCCUGGCUUUUACACUUUAAGUGUUCAUGUCACACUUUGAUAUAUACUAUUGAUAUAUUUCUACUGGCAGCUGGUUGUUUUGCAAUGGUGGGCCAUCACCACCAUGGCUUAUGUGGCCAUACUAGUCACCCCAACACCAAUUUAAUGAGUUUGCAGUUAGCAUGCAUGCACCUGUUCAUUCUGUUGCAUGUUUUAUUGUAAUGUAAUCAAAUUCUUUGCAGUGCAAGUGUUAAAAUAAAUGUUUUAAAACACCAAA